rnacentral:rRNA from 1 species
ACGCUCGACACCUACGGGAGGAAGCAGUCGGGAAUAUUGCGCAAUGGAGGAAACUCUGACGCAGUGACGCCGCGUGCAGGAAGAAGGUUUUCGGAUUGUAAACUGCUUUAGACAGGGAAGAAGAAGUGACAGUACCUGUAGAAUAAGCUCCGGCUAACUACGUGCAGCAGCCGCGGUAAUCUGAGCGGGCUGGCAAGGC